CUAGCUUUCAAAAUAAAAGCCCGAGAACACGCUGGUGAUAACGGGGUUAAAAUCAGUGGGAGGGUUAAAACAUGAUCAAAUCAUUGUCUUGUACUAUGCUGCUCUGGCUUUCCUUGUAGCUUGUAAAAGGAUCCUAUUUAUUUGUAAUACAAGCUACAAAUAUGGCAUUCUGUGCACCCUAAAAGAAGAGCAUUCAUCAUUUGAAUAGUCUCCAGACACAGCAAUAUUAUCUGAAGGUUGAAAAUAGCCAGACUUGAGACCAUGUUGCUAAGCAAUAACAUGGCAAACAUCCAGCUCAGUUGUUCUUUGUAUGUACAGAACAAUAUUUAUGGUUGUAGCAGAGACUGAAAUAGCUGUUUCCACUAUGACUCACUGAUAAUUGAAGAGGCAAAGUGCUCAUUCUUUAAUAAUUCAUAACCAAAGACACCAAGCAUUAACAACACAAUGCUCCUUGUUUAGUACCCUCAGGAUAUGUGUGUGUGCUUUACCAUUUCCUGCUUAGAAUACAUUUGUAAUGUAAAUGGAGCCGUAAAGAGACCCACGGCUGAAAAAAAAAAGGAAAAGAAAAAAGGAUGCCUUAAAGCGGAGUGCACGAGAAACAGCACUGUCACUAUGGUGUCAGCACUGAGCGGAAAACAAUUUCGUUUCAGUUUAGGACUAACAUCAUUUUUUAAAAAUCCCAUCAAAGCUGUUCAUCCUUUCAGCCGCCACCCCCCACCCCUCCACCCCUGCAGACAGCCACACCUCACACCUUCUGCUCACUGCAGCCGUGACAUGCUUCAAUGCCAAUACCAACCAGGAGGAUUGGAGGGAAAAACAGAUUUCUUCUCCGAACCAGACUGACCCCCCCACCCUUAAUCACUGUUGCCAUGGCAACUAGUGCUCAGACUGAUGAAAACAAUAUCUGCUGGUCCUCCAGCAGAGCAGCGAUGACAAAGGUGCACUGCGUCCUCUAGUGGGGGAGAGAAAAAACAGACGUGACCUGCUUUUUAGCAUUUCCAGAACCUUCUUACAGCUAUGAGUAAAUCAAACAAGGACAGCCUCUCUAUUAUUUACUAUUUAACCACACUGGCUCGUAAUAUUAUCCAUUUUUAUAUUAGAUACUAUUCACCUGACUCAGUCAUUAUGUUCUAUUGGACCAGGGUGCAUCAGUAGCUGUGAGUCCAUGAAACAAAUACACCUUUCUUUCUCUUUGGAAGGAACCAAAACCGACACAUUUAUUUAAAUGUGAUUUUUUUUUUCUGCUUUGUAAUGAUGUGAAAUUCAAGAAGAAGACUUCAAAGCCCCGAAGUAGGAAUGUGUCCCAGAUUUGACAUUGUGGCAUUAUGUAAACACGCUGUUUACAAGGACAGGGGGAGAGCAGAGCAGGAAGAGCAGAUAGAAGUCAAAACACCAUCUAAUGUGCAGCUCAAACAGCAUUAAGUCCUGCUGACUGCGACGGGCAUGUCUGAUUUAUCUCAUCACAGGAUGUUAAAGAGUGAUCUAAGGAGCCAGAUGUUGCCACCAUGCAGAGAUAGUUUUUCAUCAACAUUUGCAAAUCCAUUAUUUGUGCUGAAGCAGAGAGCAACAUUUACAGAUGUACCACCAGGGGGAAGCAGACCUCAGGCAACAGCAACACAAGCACUUCCCACCCACCCCUAGCAGAGACACACACACACAUAACAGUGGAGCAUCCCAUUUCUCUCAGCGAUCCUGUUUAGUUUGCCAGCCUUGUAAACAAAACAAUGUGAAAGGACACCAUGCAGGUAGCUACCCAGGAAGUAAACAAAUACAAAUAUGGUGUUAGUUUUAUGACUAGAAAAAUAUGCUGUCAAUAAUAUUCAAACUGUUUUUAUCCCUUGAUACGACGGGGAAGGUUUUGAACAUAAGCGUACAUGCGGUAGCACACACAACACUACCUGUUCCACAAGCUGGCAGCACUAUUUCUGGAAAGCCAGUACUCAAGAUAGUAGCUUAUAAGCCAAGGUGAAACCACUGCAACAAUGAAAAGAUCACAGGGUCAUCUGAGGCAGUAAU